UACGGAGGGUGCGAGCGUUGUCCGGAAUCACUGGGCGUAAAGGCGCGUAGGCGGCCUGAUAAGUAGGGGGUGAAAUCCUGCGGCUUAACCGCAGGGCUGCCUUCUAAACUGUCGGGCUAGAGCACGGUAGAGGCAGAUGGAAUUCCCGGUGUAGCGGUGGAAUGCGUAGAGAUCGGGAAGAACAUCAGUGGCGAAGGCGGUCUGCUGGGCCGUUGCUGACGCUGAGGCGCGACAGCGUGGGGAGGCAAACAGG
rnacentral:rRNA from 1 species